ensembl:snRNA U6 U6 spliceosomal RNA
GCUGGGUGCUUUGCAUACACUGGAAUUGGAACAAUAGAGAGAAGAUUAUCAUGUCUCCUGCACGAAGGAUGACAUGCAAAUUCAUGAAGUGCUCCAUAUUUUU